GCAGUCGAGGUGGUAACCUAGCAACAGCAGAUCAACCGUUGAGCGCCUGCCGUUGGGAUCAGUAUCUGCACGCUACACCACGAAACAGAUGUAGUCAUUAUUUAUCAGUUUUACAGUUUAGGGAGAUUUUCUGGUAGGUAGUGGUUUCCCCUCACAUCCAUCCUCAGAGGAACUUUGGAGGAGUCUCCCUUUCUGAAACAGCUUUCGGAUGCUCUUCUGUGGACACACGCUGACCACACCUGAAACACAAGGCCUUUCUCAAUCUAGUGAGCUCUAGAGUGAUUGACUGACUUUACACAGCCACCAGGAAAGCUCCCAGGGUUUUUCUCCAGUCUGUUUGGAAAUAGAUGUGUUUACGAAGGAUGAAAUAUUUCAGGAAUGAAAUCAUCGCUGGAUUUACCAAAGUUUGCGCGGUUAGUGACAUCAAAUCUUCGAAAGAUAUUCCGAGUUCUGUUUUGAAACAUUGGCAAGUUAACAAGAUAC